rnacentral:rRNA from 1 species
UACGGGGGGAGCAAGCGUUGUUCGGAUUUACUGGGCGUAAAGGGCGCGUAGGCGGAGGGGUGUGUCGAACGUGAAAGGCUGCGGCUCAACCGCAGAGCGCCGUUCGAAACUGCCUUUCUUGAGGGCCGAAGAGGAGAGUGGAAUUCCCGGUGUAGCGGUGAAAUGCGUAGAGAUCGGGAGGAACACCCAUGGCGAAGGUAGCUCUCUGGUCGGUCUCUGACGCUGAGAUGCGAAAGCGUGGGGAGCGAACGGG